rnacentral:misc_RNA from 1 species
AAAAAAAAAAAAUUCAAAAUAAUAUGAGCUUAUUAUGCGUGUUAAGUAUGACCCACCAAUCGAAUGUCGGAUCAUCUUUGACUGGUUUGCAAUAUUUAUACUUGAUAAGAAGAUCAUACGAUUUCUCUUGGUACAUGCAUCAAACUGAUAAAUGUGAAUUGGUACAUGCUGUCAUGCUUUGACAAUAUUAACAUCUUUAACAUUGAUGGUAUAUUCCGCGUGUAAUCAUUUUCAUGUAGAUUUGGCGAGUACAUGGAUAAAAAUACAAAAAUAACCCCCCUUUGCUGGUCAUCUCGUUUACUAACUUUAACUUUCCCUACUUAAUACAAUAUAAGUCACAAAAUCUAAGCUGAGCCUUUUCCAUUUAUCUAGCCAAUGAAAAGUACGAAAUGAAUCCAUUUGCAGCUCCAAUGUUUUUGGUUGAGGUAAAAAAUCUAGCAGUGGAGUGACACUCUCAUGUGUUCACAGAAAACUGAUUCAGAAGCUUCCAGCCUUAUUCCCAUACCUGUUAACUUUAAGAUAUGAGUAAUUUCACAUUUAAAUUACGCACAACAAUUACUACAAUAUACAAUUAUCAGUGGGGUUCACAAACACAGCAGUGGUGAUAAUGUAAAUCUGCUAUGUAUUUUCAAGGUUCAUAGAGUGGGAGUGGGACUGGUUAUUCACACUCCAUAGUUCUUAUCUGGUUCCAUGCGGUGUUGAGGAUAAUGCAGGGGAGGGGGCUGUUCUGGACUUUCAUGGCUUAUAGAGUCUCAUUCUUGAACCAUUAGAAGAUGAAUCAAGGUAAAAUAGUAAUUGCAUGAAAUAACACCAUGAUAGCGCUCAAAUAAGAAUUGAAGAGUGCAAAUAACCAUUCCCUCAGAGUAAACUAGCAUAUUAAUUUCAACCAUGGGCAUGAAGGUUAAGGCAUGUUUCAGCAUAACUGUUGCAAUUUUUGCACAGCCAUUUGUACUCUCUUUUUCAUCACUCAUGCUAGAAAAUGCACUCCAGCACUAGGCAGCACAAGAAUCACAUUAUGGAUGCCAAAGCUACUUAAGACUGAUAACAAGAUUUAAGAGGAGCAACUCAUACCAGCAUCUGAGGGAUUUUUAAGAAUAUAAAGGAUACAAAGUAUAGAAUACUUGCAAAUACUGCUCCUGUAAUUAUGUUGUGUGCAAGGCCCUUAUUGUCUCGACUAGGCACAAAUGCUAUUUUCAAUGUAUUUGUCAAAUGAAAGAGUCUGUAAGAAACUGCAACAUAUAUGGAAGUAGUGAGCAUGAAGUUCAACAAUGGGUAGUUGGAAGAUGGGAUUAUAGAAAGUAACAAUUUGGGUUGACCAUCUGGAAUGCUUGAUCUGCAAUUUUAAUGCAAAAAAAAGAAAAAAUACAAACAUAAUACACAUGAUCAUGCAAGUAACUUGCGUCCACACUGUAUAUAUUUGGAUACAACACUGCACAAGUAGGAAAUAAUAGGUUAGCUUCAGCAUACCUCAACCAGAUAUGGAACUGCGAAAUGUAUGUUUCCAGCGUUAUCUUUCCAAGCCAUGCAAAAAGGGUCAAAGUGUAGCUUCGGAAGUUUUGAGAGACAUUUCUCAAACAUAUGUACACAGUUAUUGGAAUCCAAGAGGUAUAAGGAUGGUAUUUAUUGUACGUAAUUUUGUCCAGCUUGUAUACAUGCUCAUACCACAGAUAACCCACCGAAAGGGAUAUCAAUGCCACAACUGUUUUGAUUGAUAUUCUGCGUUUCACUUCUGUUUCCUCCAGUUUCUCCAUCCACCUUUCCACUGUUGGAUGAUAGUAGGCAUAUAUCAUUCCAAUUAUCCAGAUAUAACGAUCAAGACCUGAGCGAAAAUGCCAUUCGUGCAACCGAGGUAAAUCUGGUUUCGCAGGAUCAGUGUAGCCUGCAAUAUUUUGAGGGAUCAGGAUCUGUACAGCCCACAGUGCUUUAACAUAUGGCACAUGAACCUUUGGCAAGAUACCAACCAAGGAAAAAUGUAAAUGGGCUCCACAGCAGCUCAAAAACUCCAGGAAUUUCCCAUAUUAGGAUAACCACCAAGAAGCAGGAGAUGAUUUUCACAGCCAUGACAGAUCCAAUCUCGUUGUAUUGAUUCAAAAUACCAAGCGCCCCAUAGACCAUAAGAGUGAAAAGAGUGUGCAUGGGGCAAAUGUAAUAUAGCAUAUAACUGUUGUUAAGCACGAUGCAGCAAAAUAACACCAAGAAAUUAAGCCGCCACAUCAUCUGAGCAAACCUAGCAAGACCGAAAUCUUUGCGGACAUAAUAAUAUGAGAAGUUCCCAAAUCCAGUCAUCCACACAUAUGCAGCAAUAAACACUCGGAUUGCAUUAUAGAUUUCUGUUGCAGCAAAGUAAUGAUACAUCAAAAACAACACCUGCAUCCAGCCUCUCCACUCCUCAGUUUGAUGCCUAUUCAAGUAAAGUAUGGGUUUCCCUGAAAACGGUGACUUAUCAUGAUGUAUUUUGAAAGAAGUUAUUGCCGAAACUAUAAUGAGAAGGAAGUAGAGAAACCAGAACAGAUCCCUAUUAAAACUCUGCAUAAAUAGACCACAGUUGAGAUUAGACCUGAAUCAGAAAAAUACAAAGAUUAAUCAACAAUAUCAGAAAGCACGUUUUUAUAGAUCAUUGCAACUCUCAUGAGUUAAAGAAAUUGAAAACAAAGCAAAAAAAUUCACUCCACCCAAUGGUUCAAACUUCAAACUUUACAAUUAAUGUAGAGUAAAACAAUCUCUGUUUUGAAACAUUAUUUCACAUUAACAUUGACCAAAGGACAUAAUAGAGUAAAAUGCAGAUAUCCUAAUUCAAUAUAUCAUAGAGGAUAAACAAAGCAUUAAUUUGGCAGUUCAACAUGUACUUGGUUACUAAAAAUCUGUUUAGCCAUAGGCUUUGAUGACAACUAACAAGGAUGAAAUAUUUAUAAAGUAGAAGUUGACAGCAGCACCUUCUUGGAGGAGUUAAAGAAAUCUGUGCGGUCACAUAAAUAAAAAUACCCCAAAAGGGCACCAAAUUCAGAUAUAGCUCUCAACGUCAACCGGUUAUCAAUCAAGAAUUGCUCGUCCAUAAGAAGGAACCUAAAAAUAGGAGAUGAAGCAGUGGAACUCUUAGCUUUAGGAGAAGCAGAGUGAAGACCUCCCCCCUCCAGUAAAACAGCUUUGUCAUCUUCUUUGACAGCGCCAUCUCCCACCUCAGGCAAACCAAUAUCAGAAUGCCUAGCUUUGGAUGCUGCAGCAUUUUUCUUAUACUCCAAAAACUCUGAAUAUAUCCAGGCAGCAAUUACAGGUACAAUUCCAAGAAAAAAUGAGACCUGACCAGGAGUAAUAGGACUAGAGAUGGCCAUUUUUCAGUGAUUUACGAAGCGAAAUCAAUCAGCAUUUCAAUGCAAGUAUAAUCGAAAACCAGAUCUAAUCGGAAUCUGGUUUCCGGUGAAGAACGAGGGGAUCUAGCGGUUUGCGCGUGUAUAUGUCGGUGAUGAGCUUUCCAUUUAAGGGGUAUUAUCUGCGUUUUAUGAAAGUGGCACUUUACUAACCUUGCGAUUUGAAUUGAAUCUGUGCUGUAGGUGUAGGGUGAGGUCAGAGGCGAAAGGAAUGUUGUUUUCC